AUUGAACGCUGGCGGCAGGCCUAACACAUGCAAGUCGAGCGCGAAAUUUCCUUCGGGAAUGAGUAGAGCGGCGGACGGGUGAGGAACGCGUAGGAAUCUACCCAGUAGUGGGGGACAACAAUCGGAAACGGUUGCUAAUACCGCAUAAGCCCUAAGGGGGAAAGCAGGGGAUCUUCGGACCUUGCGCUAUUGGAUGAGCCUGCGUCGG
rnacentral:rRNA from 1 species